CCCCUAGAUGUUCUGGGCCGCACGCGCGCUACACUGAACAGUUCAACAAGUCUUAACCUUGGCCGAUAGGUCUGGGUAAUCUUUGAACGCUGUUCGUGAUUGGGAUAGACCUUUGCAAUUAUGGGUCUUCAACGAGGAAUUCCUAGUAAACGCAAGUCAUCAGCUUGCAUUGAUUACGUCCCUGCCCUUUGUACACGCCGCCCGUCGCACCUACCGAUUGAAUGGUCCGGUGAAAUCUCGGGACGGCGGCUUGGUCGCUUGCGUCCGACUGCUGAAACUUGAUUAAACCAUAUCAUUUAGAGGAAGGUGAANUCGUAACA
rnacentral:rRNA from 1 species